ACACAAAAUUUUAGCUCUGCAUGAUGUGGCAGAAGCUAAAGGAACCAGGUUUGCUAAAGUAACUGUGGUGGCUACUGAGGUGUAUCCCAGUAUAGUA
ensembl:snoRNA SNORA66 Small nucleolar RNA SNORA66